UUCUGGCUCAGGAUGAACGCUGGCGGCAUGCUUAAUACAUGUAAGUCGAACGAGGUGCUUUGCUUCGGAUGAGAGUAUCCUAGUGGCGAACGGGUGAGUAACGCGUUGGUGACCUGCCCCCGAAGUGUGGGAUAACAGUUCGAAAGGACUGCUAAUACCGCAUGUGAUCGCUUGGAUCAGAUGCCUUGCGAUCAAAGGAGUAAUCCGCUUUGGGAGGGACCUGCGUCCCAUCAGCUAGUUGGUAAGGUAAUGGCUUACCAAGGCUAUGACGGGUAGGGGACCUGAGAGGGUGACCCCCCACACUGGCACUGAAACACGGGCCAGACACCUACGGGUGGCAGCAGUAGGGAAUCUUGGACAAUAGGCGAAAGCCUGAUCCAGCCAAUGCCGCGUGCACGAUGAAGGUCUUCGGAUUGUAAAGUGCUUUUAGAAGGGAUGAGUAAGGACAGUACCUUCUGAAUAAGCCUCGGCGAACUACGUGCCAGCCGCUGC
rnacentral:rRNA from 1 species